UACGCCCGAUCUCGUCCGAUCUCGGAAGCUAAGCAGGGUCGGGCCUGGUCAGUACUUGGAUGGGAGACCGCCUGGGAAUACCAGGUCCUGUAAGCUU
rnacentral:rRNA from 1 species